rnacentral:rRNA from 1 species
CUCCGUAGGUGAACCUGCGGAGGGAUCAUUACACAAAUAUGAAGGCGGGCUGGAACCUCUCGGGGUUACAGCCUUGCUGAAUUAUUCACCCUUGUCUUUUGCGUACUUCUUGUUUCCUUGGUGGGUUCGCCCACCACUAGGACAAACAUAAACCUUUUGUAAUUGCAAUCAGCGUCAGUCACAAAUUAAUAAUUACAACUUUCAACAACGGAUCUCUUGGUUCUGGCAUCGAUGAAGAACGCAGCGAAAUGCGAUAAGUAGUGUGAAUUGCAGAAUUCAGUGAAUCAUCGAAUCUUUGAACGCACAUUGCGCCCUUUGGUAUUCCAAAGGGCAUGCCUGUUCGAGCGUCAUUUGUACCCUCAAGCUUUGCUUGGUGUUGGGCGUCUUGUCUCUAGCUUUGCUGGAGACUCGCCUUAAAGUAAUUGGCAGCCGGCCUACUGGUUUCGGAGCGCAGCACAAGUCGCACUCUCUAUCAGCAAAGGUCUAGCAUCCAUUAAGCCUUUUUUUCAACUUUUGACCUCGGAUCAGGUAGGGAUACCCGCUGAACUUAAGCAUAUCA